ACGCUGUUCAAACGGUAGCAAUAGGAAAGAAGUGGAAUACAUGAGAAGCACAUGCACAGGGUGCAUUAGAGUACAGGGAUAUGAUUGGGCAGAUACAGGGAGCAUUACAUCAUAGGGAUAUGAUUGGUCAGGUACAGAGUGCAUUACAUCAUAGGGAUAUGAUUGGGCAGGUAUAGAGUGAAUUAGAGUAUAGGGAUAUGAUUGGGCAGGUAUAGAGUGAAUUAGAGUAUAGGGAUAUGAUUGGGCAGGUAUAGAGUGAAUUAGAGUAUAGGGAUAUGAUUGGGCAGGUAUAGAGUGCAUUAGGGAUAUGAUUGGGCAGGUAUAGAGUGAAUUAGAGUAUGGGGAUAUGAUUGGGCAGGUACAGAGUGAAUUAGAGUAUAGGGAUAUGAUUGGGCAGGUACAGAGUGAAUUAGAGUUUAGGGAUAUGAUUGGGCAG